rnacentral:rRNA from 1 species
UGGGGAAUUUUCCGCAAUGGGCGCAAGCCUGACGGAGCAAGACCGCGUGGGGGAAGAAGGCUCUUGGGUUGUAAACUCCUUUUCUCUGGGAAGAACACAAUGACGGUACCAGAGGAAUCAGCAUCGGCUAACUCCGUGCCAGCAGCCGCGGUAAGACGGAGGAUGCAAGCGUUAUCCGGAAUGAUUGGGCGUAAAGCGUCCGCAGGUGGCAGUUCAAGUCUGCUGUCAAAGACCGGGGCUUAACCUCGGAAAGGCAGUGGAAACUGAACAGCUAGAGUAUGGUAGGGGCAAAGGGAAUUCCUGGUGUAGCGGUGAAAUGCGUAGAGAUCAGGAAGAACAUCGGUGGCGAAGGCGCUUUGCUGGACCAUAACUGACACUCAGGGACGAAAGCUAGGGGAGCGAAUGGGAUUAGAUACCCCAGUAGUCCUAGCCGUAAACGAUGGAUACUAGGUGUUGUCUGUAUCGACCCGGACAGUGCCGUAGCUAACGCGUUAAGUAUCCCGCCUGGGGAGUACGCACGCAAGUGUG